GUGAAUCAUCGAAUCUUUGAACGCACCUUGCGCUCCUUGGUAUUCCGAGGAGCAUGCCUGUUUGAGUGUCUUGAAGUCAUCAACCCCCUCCGUUUUACUGCGGAUCGGGUUGGAUAUGGGGGCUUUGCUGCCGUGAGGCGGCUCCCCUGAAAUGUGUCGGUUGGGCCUGUGGGUCGAACUCGACUGGGCGUUGUACCAUCCUCGCUCGACAGAGAUUGUUCCCCUUCUGUGCCCUCCCUCGACUUGCCUCUCAGAGUGGCGGUCAACUUUUGAAAUCUGACCUCAAAUCAGGUAGGACUACCCGCUGAACUUAAGCAUAUCAAUAAGCGGAGGA
rnacentral:misc_RNA from 1 species